AUGAGUGAUCACUCACAAGUUGUGACUCCAUCAGAUUUUGACUCAGGAAGUGAAACUCAACUGUCAUUGUCAUCAAGAUCUGAAUGCCUUCUAGCACCUCAAUUCCCAGUGAAUCACAGUUUUUUAAGCAGGGAGAAUGCGGAUGCUCAAAACAAAAUUACACAGAUUGAAGAGAAAAAUUUGCUCUUAUCAGUGGAGAAUGAAAUUUUGGAGAAGUACCUCUUGAAAGUUGAUCCUGCAUCAAUUGAUGGAAUGGAUAAACUAUUAGAAAAAGUGAAUGAAAACAUAGCCAAAUCUCAAAUCAUCGUCCAAUCUCUGGAGCCUAUAUCAAGAGCUGGGAGUCGAACUUCUCAGAUAUCAAAGGCUGAUUCUGUCCACUCUGUUGGACCUACGUCGACUUUUACUCUGCCUGCGUCUGAAUCUCUCAAAAUACCACACAUAAGCUAUGAGUUUCGGCACGAUAUUGUCAGUCGAGAAAUGAACAGCAUGAAAUCAAAACUGAACAACUUGAUUGUCAAAAUGAGAAGGCAAAAAUCUAAUAUCACUGCCUGUUUGGAGGAAGUUGCAAUUCGAAUCAAAGACUUGACGGAAUACACAAAAAAAUUGAUGCUGCUUUCAAAGUCUGAUUCUAAAUCCAAAAUUAAUGUCGGCGUCUAUGUAGGUUUUAUGAGAGGUGUGUUGAAGCAAAUAAUCCAGAACAUUAACCAAGCAAAAACAAACAAAACUAUUUUAAGUAUCGAGAAAAAGAAAGUACUGCUGAGAAUGGAAGAUAAGGAAGAGCUAAGUUCAACUAUUUAUGCUAUCGACUUUGACGUUUUGGAGAUACAGAAUCAAGAAUUGCGCAAACUGCUACACAAGAAGUGCCAUUGUUUAGCUUUGACGAAACGUUUUUUAGGCAGCGCUGAAAAAUCCUUGACAGCUUCAGUCAAUUUAGUUGAUUCUUUAAGUCAGGAGCUGAACAGUAUCAGGAAACACAUCAAACUUAAUCGAAAGAAACUUAUGAACCUUCGUAGGAAAAGGAAAAAACUCGAGUCGGAAAUCAAACAGAAAAGAAAGGAAGCUCUAAUCUCGGAAAACCAUGUCAUCAAAAGCUCUGGCAAAAGUAUAGAGGCUUUAGAUGUGGUGUCAUAUGCAUUAACUAAACUUUGCGUCAAUGAUCUGGAACGGAAACUGAAAAUCAGUUCAAGGAAGCACAAUCUCAAAUUGGGAUUGCUCAGUUGUGUGAGGCAUCAUUUUAAAGUUCUAACCAACAAAUCAAACAUGACCUAUAGAAAUUCCCGGGUUUUGUAAUUAUCAACAAAAAAAAAAAUGUUCUUUGAAGUGUACAAGUAUCCUCUACUUAUCUUGUAUGAUUUCAAUUAAAUUAAAUGAAAUUGAAUUUGAUCAUCUUGCUUUAUUUUUUUUGUUCUCUUAUUAGAACGCAGUAAUGAGGAGUUGAUUUAAGUUCAGACAAUGUGAAAUUAAUCAAUUUAUUUUGAAGCCACUGUCAAACGAGCAGGUCGACUGUAGAGUCAAUGACAUUUGCCAGCAAAAUUGACAUUCUGUGGGCAUAUUUGCAACCCUGCCGGACUGUACAUUUGGGACUGCUUGUGUGAGAGGAGCUUAAACCUUCAUCAUUUUAGUUUCAGAAUUGUUUCAGAGAUUACCUCUAAAUGUUUUCAUUACCUUAGUACCUACUCAAUGUUGAAUUCUGUAAUGUAAUUCUGGUAGUGUGCCUAAUGUACAAUCAAGAUUUAGCGAUUGAUUUAAUAGCCCCAAUACUUAAGAUCUAAUUUUAAUUUUUAUAAAUGAAUGGCAGCAUCAUAAUGACACUGCCAUUCACUACCACCUAC
rnacentral:lncRNA from 1 species